UACGGAGGGUGCAAGCGCUAUCCGGAUUCACUGGGUUUAAAGGGUGCGUAGGAGGGCAGGGAAGUCCGUGGUGAAAUCUCCGAGCUUAACUCGGAAACUGCCGUGGAUACUCUCUGUCUUGAAUCCCGUGGAGAUGAGCGGAAUAUGUCAUGUAGCGGUGAAAUGCUUAGAUAUGACAUAGAACACCAAUUGCGAAGGCAGCUCGUUACACGAAGAUUGACUCUGAGGCACGAAAGCGUGGGGAUCAAACAGG
rnacentral:rRNA from 1 species